rnacentral:lncRNA from 1 species
CAACACCGGCCUCUUCCUCUCCUCCACAGGACUCUCCUCAUCUACAACUACUUCUUCCUUCUCCGCCGAUCUCAGCAGCGGUUCUUGAACCCGUCCUUCCACGUCUUGUUCUUCACCGCGGUUCAAGCUUCGUAUGAACGAGUGGAAAGGUAUGGCGAUCGGAGAGAACAAGAGGAAGAGAAGUACGGAGGCAAAAACGACCGAGAACACUCCGGUUUUGAUUCCGAUGAUGUCGUAAGACUGAAGGUACACAGCCACAACGACGGCUAGGAUGUUGAACACGGCGAAGUAACGCGUCUCUUCGCUCUCCUCGUCGGCGGAGGAAGCCGGAGGGAUCUCACGGAGGAAGAAAACCGCCGUGAGACAGACAGCGAAAGGCACGACGGCGAGUAAAACGAGAAACGACGCCGGAUCGUUUGAGAAGAGAGCAGUGCAGAGAUCGGUGAAAAUAGCCGUGCUUAGACCGACGUAUCCUUUCAAGAUCCCCGGGAAAAUGCAUCGCCGGCGCCGGAGCACAUGGUUCUUGGAGGCGCCUGGGAAAUCGUGCCUGGGAGAGAUAAUCUUCGAGUUUUACAUUCAAUUAUAUGACAAAAUAUAUGAACAAAAUCUUGAAAAGUUUAUGCUAGUGUGCGGUGACUCUGACUACAAGUACAACAUUGUAUCAUGAAUGAAACCAAUAUAUUUUUCAUGUAAAAAACAUCAGUAUCUCAAACUAAAAAAUCGUGAUGAACAAUCUAGUGCAAUCUAACUAGAACAAUUAUUAACUAAGGUCACUGCCAGAACUUUUGGCCUUUUUGCUAGCGUGAAUCUUAGCAUAAAUCUCCUUUGUCCUAUAAGCCAACAGAAUAUCUAAACCGACUCCAAUAAUAGAAGCUGAAGCCAUCACCAAGAAGAUGAGACGGUAACAAUGAGCUCCGACGCAAGUGUUGCCCCCACCAGGAGUUGGUGUAGCCUCUGCAUCGUAGAGGAACCCAGCGAGAAGACCAGAGAAGAGGAACGAGCCGAGUGGCAAGUUAAGUACUAAGAUGUUGUAGAUGAGACCAUAGUAUUUGAGACCAAAGAGUUCUGAUGCUGUGGGUACGGUAAUAGCUAGACGGACACCAUAACAAACUCCGACCACCAUUGAACCGAUGUAAAGUGAAUUGGGGACAGCUAAAGCCAUUAGUAGAUACCCUACAGCCAUGAGGAUUUGAGAUGCUGCGUUCCAUAGUGGUCUUGGUGUUCCAGCUUUCCUAUAGAAAUCAAGAGUAAAAUUCACACUAUUUGUUCAGUAAAGUUAUUAAAUCAGCACGCUGAUAAUGAUCUUCUCUCUUUUUUGUUGAUCAUGAAAAAUCUAUGCACGUAAAUAGUUUGUAAACAUCUUAAAGUUUGUAAAGAAUCUAGAGGGGGACAUUCACGUGGUGAGGAAUUAAACAGUGUGGUCCUAAUAAAAAGAGCAAGAUCGCUGGAUUUGGACUUAUCUAUGCACAAGAACAAAAAACUAUUGAAAUGAUCAAACAGAGAAAUCUAAAAGAUCUGUUUUCUAUAAUUGAAAAGUCAAUAAGUGGAGAAAAAUGCAGACAAACCAUUGAUUGUGUGUCCAUGGGUGUAGAUGGGUUAUAGCUUUCUAAUUAAUGUUAGAACGGUAGUGAAAGCUUAACGAUAGCUCCGUACCAAAAAUACCAACCACAUGAAAAUAAAGUGAAUAGUAAGUUGCGGGCGGAUACAAUUGUAUGGAACAUAAAGUGUCGGCAAGUGCUAAUUGGAAGAUGGUGUGUAGAAACCUAACCAAAUAAUUAGACUUUUUGUCAACUUUGAAAAUAGUUAGAUAUUAAUCAAAAAAAAAAUUAGUAUUCACAAAAAAUAAUCAAAACUUAUUUAUGUCAAAAAAAUUAUUGUUACAAUUUCAAUGUAUUUCUGUUAUUAAUUAAUCUCUUUUACCAUUAUACUAAAUUUUUUAAAAUAAAAGCAAUAAAAUUUUAAUAGUUAAAUAAGGAUAAACUAAAUAUUAACUAUUUUCUUAAUAAGUACAUUUUGAUUUAUAUGCUUUUUCAAGAAAAUAACUUUAUCGGAAAUAACAAAAAAUUGAAAAGGUGACUGAAGUAGGAGGAGACUUACUUGAGAAAGUGUUCGGAGAGUGUACCGGAGAGAAUACGACCGAAGAAGCCCCAAAUACUAGUCAUGGAGACGAAGAUCGAGACGUCUGUGUAACCAAGUGCAAGCCCAAUCUGGCCCAUGUUGUUCAUCACUGCCAACCCAGUCCCUACACCACACAAGAACGAGACGAACAGCACCCAAAAAUCCACCGUCAGCAUCGCUUCCAUUAUCGUGUGUUCUUCUCCCAACACCGGCCUCUUCCUCUCCUCCACAGGACUCUCCUCAUCUACAACUACUUCUUCCUUCUCCGCCGAUCUCAGCAGCGGUUCUUGAACCCGUCCUUCCACGUCUUGUUCUUCACCGCGGUUCAAGCUUCGUAUGAACGAGUGGAAAGGUAUGGCGAUCGGAGAGAACAAGAGGAAGAGAAGUACGGAGGCAAAAACGACCGAGAACACUCCGGUUUUGAUUCCGAUGAUGUCGUAAGACUGAAGGUACACAGCCACAACGACGGCUAGGAUGUUGAACACGGCGAAGUAACGCGUCUCUUCGCUCUCCUCGUCGGCGGAGGAAGCCGGAGGGAUCUCACGGAGGAAGAAAACCGCCGUGAGACAGACAGCGAAAGGCACGACGGCGAGUAAAACGAGAAACGACGCCGGAUCGUUUGAGAAGAGAGCAGUGCAGAGAUCGGUGAAAAUAGCCGUGCUUAGACCGACGUAUCCUUUCAAGAUCCCCGAGACCGGACCACGGUUUCGCCGGAAGUUUCGUAUGCAAGUAACAAGAACCGCCGUGUUCAUCCACGUCGUGCUGUUUCCUCCCAUACAGAGGAAUAUACACAUCUGAACAUUACAAACCCUCAGAAUCAAGAAUUGCGCUAGUAUAAAUUCAAGAAUAUUAUUUUUUUUUUUUUUAAUAAUAUUAUUUGUACCUGCCAAUAAGGGAGAGGGGUGAUGGUGCGGCUAACGACGAGCCAUUGUACACCAUAGCCAAGAAGACCUUCUAAAGAACCGAUAAGGAGGAUCACUGGAGUGGAAAGACGGUCCGAGGCGAGGCCAGCGAGGAUUCCAAAGGCUUUUCCGACGUCUUUAGCGACGGAGAGGUUGUUGAGCUGGAGCUGGUUGAGGUUCAUGAGUGACUUGAGAGCGCCAGAGUAGUUGGAGAAAGUGUAGUUGUUGCCGGAGAUGGACUGAACCCAAACCGCCGUCACAAAUCCAAGCCAUUUCAGUGCAGAAGAAGAAGAGGGAGAUCUCAGAAUGCCCAUUGUAGAAGAAAGAAGUUCAAGAAGAAGAAUGUGUUGGUUGUGGAGGUUAAAAUUAAGGGAGGUUUUAUAGAAGGGAAAGGGGAUAUCUUUUGUUUGUGUGAGUGUUUUUUAGUUUAAUUAAAUCGUUGUUGUUUUACAUUUUGUAAACAAUUGUUUUUUUUUUUAAUUAUACAAGUGGGGAAUGAGAAUAGAAAAGGUACGACGGCGACAUGUAGUACGGUUAAGAAGGUGUGCAAACCGUGGAUACAUCACGACAUGGAAUAUUUAAAAGACGGUGUGCUCAUAUUAUAGAUUUCUUAGUCGUUUAAAACAAUUAAAGUAGGUGGCCAACUAGGCUAUGUUGCUAGCCGUUGCUGCUUAGAAUGUUUGUUCCUCCAAAGCUUCAUGUUAGACUCCUAAUGCAUAUUGUGUAUGAUCCCAUCUAUACAGGAGAUGUAUGAUCAAAACAGAGCUAAAAUAGUUAAUAAAGUGCGACAUGAACUAUUACAGAGAAAAAUGUAUGACGUGGACUGAAUUAAGUGUUUUUCAAAGUACGAUCUAGGCCUGGACAUUUUAUCUGAUACAUGAACCCGUACCGAAACUCGAAAUGAAAAACCCAAGCCAAAAUCCAAACUAAAAUAGUAAAAUAUCUGAAUAUGAUAUAGAAUUAGGAGAGAUUGGAUAUUCAAGCUCAGACGGGUAAAAAUUGAACCCGAAUAGAUAUCCAAACAUAAUCGAGUAUAUAUAUACUAAACCCUCUAUUCCUAGUUUGCUUUUUUCGUUUUAUUCAAAAUAUUUAUAUUGAUGUUGCAUAUGACUCAAGAUCAGAUAAUAUACAUAUAAUUAUGGACAAAAUGAUUUACUACUCAUUUAAAAUGCAAGUCAAACUUCUUGUUUCAUGCAUUAACAAUAGUUGCAUCUAAAAUUUCAAAAUAACAAUUUUUAAAGUUUUAUCUCCAAAUAUAUAAAUAGUCUAACCUAUUAAAAAUUAAAAAAUCAGUUACGUUAAUGGUAAAUUUAUAAGUACAAGAAACUUCGGUAAUGAAAAAUUUGAUUUCUUUUUUCAAAGUCUAAAUAUCCAAAUCCUAUCCAAAAUAACCAAACCCGAGCGGGUUCCAGACUUCAAUACCUAUAGACCCGAAAUCUUGAAAUAUUCCGAUCCGAACUCAAACGGGUACCCAAAAUGUCAUGUCUAGUAGAGUCAAUAAAUAAAAAUUUACUUUGGAGCAUGUUAAGAGAAGUAGUAGAGAAAAAGAAAUCGACCUUGCAUAAAAAAUUGACUUCUUUGGUGGAUAACACAAAAUGAAAACUUCACAAACAGAUCGAGAUGAAGCCAAUUUAGUGGGGCAGAAUUGGAACACCCAACCGAAAAAUAUUUGAAAAAUCCAUUGAAAAAUCUAAGUAAAAAUUGAGUCAAAUUUUAACAAAUGAAAUGAAGAAAUACAGCCACUUUAUUGAUGAAAUACAAGAUUAAAUAUUGAAGAACUUAAUGGUGGUAAUGAUAUUAAAUGAAUCUAGUAUAGACAUGUAAUGGACAGUAUGAAGACAAUAUAUGGUAUUUAUAUUGGUUCUACGAAGGGUUAUAGCGCCUUGUCAUAUACACGAGAGAUGGUUAAAGACACUCAUGCGAGUGACUAGGAUAAAUUUAUUUUCGUAUCUAUACAAAAUAAAGAAGGCCGUUCGAUGUACAAUUACAAGAUUUUUUUUUUUUUUACGUCGAAAGACUAUUCUAUUACUCAAGUUUGAGGUGGUUUGGAUAACCAAAUCGGAAUAAAACAACCAAUAAAAUGUUACUCCCUAUGGAAGGAUCUAGCAGUCUUAGCUAAAAAGUCUGAAAUCUGAUUGCGCGCUCGUGGAAUAUGAAUGAUGUUGAAAUCCGGAAAGCAUAUUUGUAGCGUCUCUAUCCUCUCCAAUUCUGUCGCAAAGCUUGGCCAAGCCUGAGGUUCCUUUAUCAUUAUAAUCAGUUCCUUAGAGUCUGUCCCGAAGCUCUGGCAUGUUGAAUGUUGAAGCAUAUAUUCUCCAUCGCCCAUCGCAGUGCUUCUACUUCCGAAUGCAAAACCUGAUUUGCGUCGAGUGAAAUUUCUUGUCCCCAUAAGUUGAAUGUUCCCAUAACUGUCCAUCUAGAGCCAUCCACAUUCACUAAAGUGAGCAGAGGAUGUCCAAGAUCCAUCUAACAAGCAAAUAUUACCCAAGCUUAUGACUUGGGAUUCGUCAAUAUUGUUAUCUUGUAUCACUGGUUGUACCACUUCGUUGGCAUCAAACCAGGCUUGGCAUUCACUUCAUGCAUGUCGAACUAGCUCCAAAGGAUCUCUAUCUACCCCCUAAAAACUUUGUCAUUUCUAGCAUUUCAAAUAUACCAUAUUAUCCAGGAAUAAGGAUUUAUAUCUUGUUCUGACUCGAUAAUGUUGUUUUUCCUCCAUAAUAGGUAAUCCAUAUUUGUGUAGAUGCUUGGUACUGGAAAUAUACAUGGGGUUCUUGGAGUUGAUAAUAAUGAUCAAACUUGGAGAGCUGACGGACAUUCGAAUAUGGCAUGGGUUACAGUUUCUUCUAGUUCUUCACAUUUUGGGCAGUAGUUGUCACACCUCAUAUUGCGUCUUGUUAAGUUCCUCGUUACUGUCACAUGACCAGUUAACAAUUGCCAUAUAAGAUGACAUAUCUUCAUAGGUGUCUUUAGCUUUCAAGCAAAGGCUUCGAGCUUAGUGAUGCUUGGUUCAAAAACUUCAUUUUCUUCCGCUGUCGUUAAUAAAUUUUGAGCCACCCAAUAUCCAGAUUUAAUUGUGUACUAGAUUUUGACCCGCGCAGGCGCGCGGGUGUAUAUUUUGAAAAAUAUGUUGAUAUUUGUUUUUCAUGUAAUUAUUAGGGUUUUACAAAAUGAAUCCAAGGAACAUAACCGAUACCGAUCCGAAAAUAUAGUACCAAACCCGAACAUAAAUUGAUUAAAUAUUCGAAUUAUAGAAAAUUUUGUUAUUUAGAGAACCAAACUGAUCCGAACCGAAGUAUUCGGGUACCCGAAUUUAUCUAAAAAUAGAUUUAUAUACUUAUAUAUAUAUUAAUUAUUUUUAGAUUUAACGUAUAUAAAACAUUAAGAAUGAUACUUUUAAAUUGGUUUAAAUACUUGAAAAUAUAUAUUUAUAUAGUCAAAAGUAAAUAUCUGCAAUAGUUAAAGUAUACUCAAAUCACCAAAAAUACUUUGAUUCCAUAUCCAAAAUUUUAAAUCAAUCCAAUUGAUAUGUUAAGCUUAGGUAUUCUGACAUAUGUUAUUCAAAUUUAUAGGUAAUAUAUUAUUUUAUUUAUAGAUUUUGAGAAAUUUAAAAUAGAUAAUGAUUUAAAACUUUAAAAAUAAUUUAAAUGGGUUAUCCAAAUGCGAACCAAACCCGCAAAGAUCCGAAUCAAACUCAAACCAAAAUUUAGAAACAUCCUAACAGGGCUUAAAUCUUUGACUCCGAAAACCCGAAACACAAACCGAUCAGAACCAAAUCCGUAUGGGUGCCCGAAAUCCCAUCCCUAUUCAUUAUUAUAUAUCGUAUACUGUCAUCAUAUAAUUAAUCGUAUUUUAUAUGUACCAUCAUAUAAGUAAUCAUAUAAUUAAUAGUAUUUUAUACGUACCAUCAUAUAAAUAAUUACAUAUAUUAUAUUUUUAAAACUUAAUAUGAAUAUAAAAACCACAAUUUGAGUUGGUAUUUCAAAUUGGGCUUUGUAUUGUAUUUUUAUUAUAUAUAUUGACAACAUUUUUUUAUAAUGGUUAUUGAAAAAUAGUUUAGUAAAAAUCCAUUUCUGAAUAUAUGUAUUAUUUUUUAAUCAAUUUUUGAUAUAAAUCAACUUUAAAUUAUUAUUUUGAUUUGAAAUAUGUGUAUAAAGUUUAAAUUUUGUUUUAUGGUUAGUUUAGAAAAGAAAAAGUUUUAGGCAAUUAGAUUGACCGUUUUCGUAUAUUUUAAAUCUGGCCCAAAUAGAUAGUUUCUUAUAAUAUGAUGGACUUUUAAUUUUUCUUGAUAACAUAAGCCCAUUACUUUUUUUUUCUUAAUACUACUAUCUUUGUUUCCAAACAAAAUUAAUUUUUUUUAAAAGACUACAAUUCAUGUUUCUAAACACUCCAAUUUUUUUUAAUAGUCCUAUUCAAGUCUCCAAACACUCCAAUUUUGUACUUGAGUUUUAAUAAGAUAGAUUGGCCAUUCCUUAUAUAGUUUCAACAGGAUGUAUCACGAUGAUGAGUUGAGCUUAUAUCCAAGCUCCUUAUGAAUGGUAUGUCCUCCGGAUGUACAAUUACAAGCUUAAAUGUGAUAAUCAACAAUCGUUUAUAAAAUUGGUGUUAUUGGGAGUUGUAUUUUUAACCAUUUAACUCAUAACACAAGAUUUUGAAAAUACUACUUAAAUACCUUAAAUUUUUAGAAUCAUUAUAUCAAUGUAUUUUCAUAUAAUUUCACAAUAAACAAAAUUCUCCUAAUUUUUAAAAUCAACAAACUUUAUAUAAAUCUUACUCCUACUAACACCCCCUUGAGCAUUUAAAAGUUAUUUUGCAAGUUUUUUUUAGGAAACACAACUAAUAUUCCCACUCUAACUCCACUGGACUAUAAUAUUAAAAAUCUGACUAAAAUAUACUUUACAAGUGUAUACAUUUCUUACUCUCUCUAACCUCCGAAAUAAAAUUGAAAUUGGAUGUUAAUAAGAAUAAAAAAUUAUUUUUAAAAAAACAGGAAUAAGAUUGGAUCUGUCUUUGUAAAUAAAAUACAACCAACGCUGCAUUCCCCUUAAUUUGGAGGCAUUCUACAAGUGGCCUUAGAUAAUCUCGAAAAGCCAUUACGAAAAAUAUAGAUUUAUGAACAGCGAUAUCUUUCUUUAGGCAAUUUGUGUCGUCUAAUUUUUUAUAGAGCCAUGUUGUACUAACAUUGAGGGAAAAAAGGCAUCGCCCUGCUUGCUAGACAGAAUAAAACGUGGCAUAAUAGACAACAAAAAAAAAAACGUGACAUAAUAAAAAUGAUUGUACCUUUUUAAGAUCAAUAUAUUUAUGAAUCAAGAAGACAAAUAUAUCCAGCUGUUUUUGUACUCUAGACAAAUAAAAUUGAAAGUCAAUAAUUUGAACUAAACUAAAUUAUUUAUAGCAGAUUAAAAGAAGAAAAUGCUGAAAAUAAAACAAAAAAGAAAUAAAAUAAUUUUUGGACUUUUCUUUUCAAAUAAAAAAUGGAAACAUAUAAAAUAUCUAAAACAAAUUAAGUGACAUUACGAAAUAUCUCAUUGUAUUGCGGUCUAAUUCAAAACCUCUUUACUAUUAUUCCAAUAUAUAUAUAUACAAAUUAAUAAAUGUUGAAUACGAGUAUUUUCAAGAUAAAAUUAUAACUUUAUCUCAAAUCUGACACUAUUUUUUAAAUUUAUUUUUAAAUGUCAACUAUUUCAAUAAAUAUUUUAAAUAUAUUAUAAAAUACAAAAAUAUCCCUCAUAAAUAUUUUAAAAUUAUUUAUAAAAGUUUUAAAACACAAUCCCAUGCACCCACUAAAUACUAUAUCAUGAACAGUAACCACUAAAUCAUAGAUGCAAAUUUUAAAGUGUUUUUGAAAAAUAGUAUCCUAUUCAAUGUAUUUAAAACAUUUUUUUAUAUUUUCAAUGCAAUUUUAAGUUCUUUUAAGCUUUCUUUAGCCCAAAGAAGGUUCUAUAUAUGCCAACUAUCUUUAUUUGUUAGUGGAGGGAAAGAUCACUAAUUAAGUAAUUUAAAAUGUUUUAAAAAUUGUGGAAAAACAGAAACAUAUUUGUAAGAGAAAUCAGAUCAUAUAACCAUACCAAUAUCAAAAUUUAGUAAAUGACCAUAAUAAGUCAUGUGCUAUGAUAAAUUUUGUAUAUAUUAUGUAUUAAUUUCUAUAUUACCUUCAUGUAUGUUGAUUAAUCUUUUUUUUUCUUACAUGUUUCCUCCCAUUUGUUUAAUUACUUAUAUUCCUUUUGAUCUGGUGUUGAGAAACUCUACGAAUUAAUCUUAAGAAAUGUUAAAAAUUUAUGAAAAAAUCAAUAGAGAUAAACAAAUAUUUACAACCUUAAGAUAUGUAUUUAUACUUUUCAAAAACUUUUUUUCCUUUUUACUAUAUUUUACUGGUGCGUUAAAAUUUAAAUCACUAUUAGAAUCAACAUUUAGUAAAUGCAGUCAAUCACCGCAAGUUUAUUAUAAAUUUUACCAUAAUAGACCAUUUAAUAUAUUAUUGAUAAGAAAUAUAUGAUCUGUUAUUUGUGUUUCAAAUCCUAUUUCAUAUGUUCAUUUUCAAGUUAGAUUCAACAAAGUAUAUAGAAAUUGAUAUAUAGUUUGGCAUAAUGUGGCAAAACUCUAUUGACUAAACCUUUUCCGAUUAUGGAAAUAAAUAAGAACAUAUAUGAUGAAUAAAAAUAUGCAAUUUAAUCAAGUGGCAAUGGUCUAGUGAUUCUUGUUUUAGGAGAAAUUGCUCUAUAUGUGUAAGUUCAGAGAUCAAUUUUCUUCAAAUGUGAAAUUAUUUAGCUAUUCACAUUUGACUAGUCCAUAUAGUAACUUGUUUUACACCUAUUAAAAAAACAUGAUGAAUUGACUAUUUGAUAGCAAUAUUCAUCUUUGGGAGAUUAAUCGGGUGAUAAAUGUCCAUAUCAGUUCUUAUAUUAAUCGGGUGACAAGAAACGAUGCAAGUUGUAGUUUGUAAAUAAUAUCAUCCAAAAGAAAUUAAUUAAUUAUAAGGUGGUAGGGGUAAAUAGAUUGACAAAGACGGUUGUUAUCUUCUGAGCCAUUCAAUUGAUUUGCCGGAGAAAUUAUCACAAUUUUGGUUAUCCCAGUUUCUCAAAAACGAGCAAACCGUGAACCGGUUCUCAAAUAAUAUACUCCAUUUUUUUCAAAAGUGUUCUCAAUUAAUAAAAUUAUUAAAUUUUUUAUUUGAUAUAAAUUUUUAGUUUUACUAAUUAAUGAAAUAAAACAAGGGUAAACUAUAGAAAAAUGUUUAAAAAAUGCAUUGGAAAUAUAAAAAACAUUUAUAAUGAAACAAAAUUUAAAAACUAAAAUGACACUUAAUAUGAAACGGAGGGAGUCUAUGAUUUAUUUUUCUUUGGAUCUACUAAAAUUAAAUAUAUUAAUUCUUGUUUUUUUCAAAAAAAUAUAGUAAUUCUUUUCGACAAACAAAUAUAGUAAGUUUUAUAUUUUGUAAAAUCAUUGUGUUUAAAACAUUUCCUGUCAAAGGGUUUGGUUAUUAAAAAAAAAAAAAAAAUUACAACGGAAAAGAACCACGACCACAAAGGUCCUAGGACUGUAGGAGUAGAGAGAUGCGUUAACAAAAGAAACCCUCGAAAACUCAAAUUAUAGAGAGGAAAAAAGAAGGGAAGAAUCCAUUUCCUUUUUUUUUUGUCAAGUAGAGAGUACAUUUCCUAUCAGUGGCGAAGCACUUAGAGAGAAAAGAGAGAAAAGAGAGAAAACGCGUGGGAGGGAAGCACCGACGUACGGCGGCGCGUAUGCGCGCGUGCCGGCGCCGGUGGCUCCCUUCUUGUCGAUCCUUGCUAGGUUUUCCUCUGUGCGCGUCGAUCUGCUGUCCUAUCCGAUAUAUUUUCGGAUCUGGAAUAGGGUUUUAUCGUCGGAAGAGAUUUGUCUACGGAGGGUUUCAAACGGCGGUAAUCUCUCUUUCUCUGGAUUCGUGGUGAGGUAGUAGGACGCGGCUCGUCGCGACAGCUUGUUAGUUUUUUGGGUUGAAGUUAGGGUUCAUUCCGGGAGGCGGAGGCUCCGUUAGUUCCGCCGUCGCCGUUCAAGUUUCCGGGGGGUGGAGGCUUCUUCAGCUCUGCGUCGCCGGCAAAGUCUCCGGGAGGUAGAGGCUCUCUCAGCUCUGCGUCGCCGGAUCAUGCACCGAGGGGUGAAGGCGUCUUGUACCUUGCCUCGUCGGCUCUUGCUGCUUAAUUUUUAGAUUAGUUUUUUUAGGGCCUUUGUGGUUUGUUUAUGGCGUUGGUGAUGGUUUAGACCCGUGUGUGUUCUCUCGUUGGAGGAAGAGAGAAGCGUCCGUAUCAAGUUGGUGAUGUUUCUGUGAGCCGUGGUUGUUACUCUGGUGUGUGCUCGAACGGUGGUGGUGAUGAUCUCGCUCCGGCGAUUGAUCUCGCCGGUAAAGAUUUCUCUAGAGUACAAGACGGCGGUGGUGAAGAGUGUGUGUAGGUCAUGGGAUCCGGUUUGUCACAGUGAGGCAUGCUCCUGUAGUGGCCGGUGAGAAGCGUCCGAUCUCUGACGUAAGUGCUCCCGGUGGCGGCGACGUUUGCGGGUUUGCUUCUCGAAGUAGUAUUUUAUAUGUACCAUCAUAUAAGUAAUCAUAUAAUUAAUAGUAUUUUAUACGUACCAUCAUAUAAAUAAUUACAUAUAUUAUAUUUUUAAAACUUAAUAUGAAUAUAAAAACCACAAUUUGAGUUGGUAUUUCAAAUUGGGCUUUGUAUUGUAUUUUUAUUAUAUAUAUUGACAACAUUUUUUUAUAAUGGUUAUUGAAAAAUAGUUUAGUAAAAAUCCAUUUCUGAAUAUAUGUAUUAUUUUUUAAUCAAUUUUUGAUAUAAAUCAACUUUAAAUUAUUAUUUUGAUUUGAAAUAUGUGUAUAAAGUUUAAAUUUUGUUUUAUGGUUAGUUUAGAAAAGAAAAAGUUUUAGGCAAUUAGAUUGACCGUUUUCGUAUAUUUUAAAUCUGGCCCAAAUAGAUAGUUUCUUAUAAUAUGAUGGACUUUUAAUUUUUCUUGAUAACAUAAGCCCAUUACUUUUUUUUUCUUAAUACUACUAUCUUUGUUUCCAAACAAAAUUAAUUUUUUUUAAAAGACUACAAUUCAUGUUUCUAAACACUCCAAUUUUUUUUAAUAGUCCUAUUCAAGUCUCCAAACACUCCAAUUUUGUACUUGAGUUUUAAUAAGAUAGAUUGGCCAUUCCUUAUAUAGUUUCAACAGGAUGUAUCACGAUGAUGAGUUGAGCUUAUAUCCAAGCUCCUUAUGAAUGGUAUGUCCUCCGGAUGUACAAUUACAAGCUUAAAUGUGAUAAUCAACAAUCGUUUAUAAAAUUGGUGUUAUUGGGAGUUGUAUUUUUAACCAUUUAACUCAUAACACAAGAUUUUGAAAAUACUACUUAAAUACCUUAAAUUUUUAGAAUCAUUAUAUCAAUGUAUUUUCAUAUAAUUUCACAAUAAACAAAAUUCUCCUAAUUUUUAAAAUCAACAAACUUUAUAUAAAUCUUACUCCUACUAACACCCCCUUGAGCAUUUAAAAGUUAUUUUGCAAGUUUUUUUUAGGAAACACAACUAAUAUUCCCACUCUAACUCCACUGGACUAUAAUAUUAAAAAUCUGACUAAAAUAUACUUUACAAGUGUAUACAUUUCUUACUCUCUCUAACCUCCGAAAUAAAAUUGAAAUUGGAUGUUAAUAAGAAUAAAAAAUUAUUUUUAAAAAAACAGGAAUAAGAUUGGAUCUGUCUUUGUAAAUAAAAUACAACCAACGCUGCAUUCCCCUUAAUUUGGAGGCAUUCUACAAGUGGCCUUAGAUAAUCUCGAAAAGCCAUUACGAAAAAUAUAGAUUUAUGAACAGCGAUAUCUUUCUUUAGGCAAUUUGUGUCGUCUAAUUUUUUAUAGAGCCAUGUUGUACUAACAUUGAGGGAAAAAAGGCAUCGCCCUGCUUGCUAGACAGAAUAAAACGUGGCAUAAUAGACAACAAAAAAAAAAACGUGACAUAAUAAAAAUGAUUGUACCUUUUUAAGAUCAAUAUAUUUAUGAAUCAAGAAGACAAAUAUAUCCAGCUGUUUUUGUACUCUAGACAAAUAAAAUUGAAAGUCAAUAAUUUGAACUAAACUAAAUUAUUUAUAGCAGAUUAAAAGAAGAAAAUGCUGAAAAUAAAACAAAAAAGAAAUAAAAUAAUUUUUGGACUUUUCUUUUCAAAUAAAAAAUGGAAACAUAUAAAAUAUCUAAAACAAAUUAAGUGACAUUACGAAAUAUCUCAUUGUAUUGCGGUCUAAUUCAAAACCUCUUUACUAUUAUUCCAAUAUAUAUAUAUACAAAUUAAUAAAUGUUGAAUACGAGUAUUUUCAAGAUAAAAUUAUAACUUUAUCUCAAAUCUGACACUAUUUUUUAAAUUUAUUUUUAAAUGUCAACUAUUUCAAUAAAUAUUUUAAAUAUAUUAUAAAAUACAAAAAUAUCCCUCAUAAAUAUUUUAAAAUUAUUUAUAAAAGUUUUAAAACACAAUCCCAUGCACCCACUAAAUACUAUAUCAUGAACAGUAACCACUAAAUCAUAGAUGCAAAUUUUAAAGUGUUUUUGAAAAAUAGUAUCCUAUUCAAUGUAUUUAAAACAUUUUUUUAUAUUUUCAAUGCAAUUUUAAGUUCUUUUAAGCUUUCUUUAGCCCAAAGAAGGUUCUAUAUAUGCCAACUAUCUUUAUUUGUUAGUGGAGGGAAAGAUCACUAAUUAAGUAAUUUAAAAUGUUUUAAAAAUUGUGGAAAAACAGAAACAUAUUUGUAAGAGAAAUCAGAUCAUAUAACCAUACCAAUAUCAAAAUUUAGUAAAUGACCAUAAUAAGUCAUGUGCUAUGAUAAAUUUUGUAUAUAUUAUGUAUUAAUUUCUAUAUUACCUUCAUGUAUGUUGAUUAAUCUUUUUUUUUCUUACAUGUUUCCUCCCAUUUGUUUAAUUACUUAUAUUCCUUUUGAUCUGGUGUUGAGAAACUCUACGAAUUAAUCUUAAGAAAUGUUAAAAAUUUAUGAAAAAAUCAAUAGAGAUAAACAAAUAUUUACAACCUUAAGAUAUGUAUUUAUACUUUUCAAAAACUUUUUUUCCUUUUUACUAUAUUUUACUGGUGCGUUAAAAUUUAAAUCACUAUUAGAAUCAACAUUUAGUAAAUGCAGUCAAUCACCGCAAGUUUAUUAUAAAUUUUACCAUAAUAGACCAUUUAAUAUAUUAUUGAUAAGAAAUAUAUGAUCUGUUAUUUGUGUUUCAAAUCCUAUUUCAUAUGUUCAUUUUCAAGUUAGAUUCAACAAAGUAUAUAGAAAUUGAUAUAUAGUUUGGCAUAAUGUGGCAAAACUCUAUUGACUAAACCUUUUCCGAUUAUGGAAAUAAAUAAGAACAUAUAUGAUGAAUAAAAAUAUGCAAUUUAAUCAAGUGGCAAUGGUCUAGUGAUUCUUGUUUUAGGAGAAAUUGCUCUAUAUGUGUAAGUUCAGAGAUCAAUUUUCUUCAAAUGUGAAAUUAUUUAGCUAUUCACAUUUGACUAGUCCAUAUAGUAACUUGUUUUACACCUAUUAAAAAAACAUGAUGAAUUGACUAUUUGAUAGCAAUAUUCAUCUUUGGGAGAUUAAUCGGGUGAUAAAUGUCCAUAUCAGUUCUUAUAUUAAUCGGGUGACAAGAAACGAUGCAAGUUGUAGUUUGUAAAUAAUAUCAUCCAAAAGAAAUUAAUUAAUUAUAAGGUGGUAGGGGUAAAUAGAUUGACAAAGACGGUUGUUAUCUUCUGAGCCAUUCAAUUGAUUUGCCGGAGAAAUUAUCACAAUUUUGGUUAUCCCAGUUUCUCAAAAACGAGCAAACCGUGAACCGGUUCUCAAAUAAUAUACUCCAUUUUUUUCAAAAGUGUUCUCAAUUAAUAAAAUUAUUAAAUUUUUUAUUUGAUAUAAAUUUUUAGUUUUACUAAUUAAUGAAAUAAAACAAGGGUAAACUAUAGAAAAAUGUUUAAAAAAUGCAUUGGAAAUAUAAAAAACAUUUAUAAUGAAACAAAAUUUAAAAACUAAAAUGACACUUAAUAUGAAACGGAGGGAGUCUAUGAUUUAUUUUUCUUUGGAUCUACUAAAAUUAAAUAUAUUAAUUCUUGUUUUUUUCAAAAAAAUAUAGUAAUUCUUUUCGACAAACAAAUAUAGUAAGUUUUAUAUUUUGUAAAAUCAUUGUGUUUAAAACAUUUCCUGUCAAAGGGUUUGGUUAUUAAAAAAAAAAAAAAAAUUACAACGGAAAAGAACCACGACCACAAAGGUCCUAGGACUGUAGGAGUAGAGAGAUGCGUUAACAAAAGAAACCCUCGAAAACUCAAAUUAUAGAGAGGAAAAAAGAAGGGAAGAAUCCAUUUCCUUUUUUUUUUGUCAAGUAGAGAGUACAUUUCCUAUCAGUGGCGAAGCACUUAGAGAGAAAAGAGAGAAAAGAGAGAAAACGCGUGGGAGGGAAGCACCGACGUACGGCGGCGCGUAUGCGCGCGUGCCGGCGCCGGUGGCUCCCUUCUUGUCGAUCCUUGCUAGGUUUUCCUCUGUGCGCGUCGAUCUGCUGUCCUAUCCGAUAUAUUUUCGGAUCUGGAAUAGGGUUUUAUCGUCGGAAGAGAUUUGUCUACGGAGGGUUUCAAACGGCGGUAAUCUCUCUUUCUCUGGAUUCGUGGUGAGGUAGUAGGACGCGGCUCGUCGCGACAGCUUGUUAGUUUUUUGGGUUGAAGUUAGGGUUCAUUCCGGGAGGCGGAGGCUCCGUUAGUUCCGCCGUCGCCGUUCAAGUUUCCGGGGGGUGGAGGCUUCUUCAGCUCUGCGUCGCCGGCAAAGUCUCCGGGAGGUAGAGGCUCUCUCAGCUCUGCGUCGCCGGAUCAUGCACCGAGGGGUGAAGGCGUCUUGUACCUUGCCUCGUCGGCUCUUGCUGCUUAAUUUUUAGAUUAGUUUUUUUAGGGCCUUUGUGGUUUGUUUAUGGCGUUGGUGAUGGUUUAGACCCGUGUGUGUUCUCUCGUUGGAGGAAGAGAGAAGCGUCCGUAUCAAGUUGGUGAUGUUUCUGUGAGCCGUGGUUGUUACUCUGGUGUGUGCUCGAACGGUGGUGGUGAUGAUCUCGCUCCGGCGAUUGAUCUCGCCGGUAAAGAUUUCUCUAGAGUACAAGACGGCGGUGGUGAAGAGUGUGUGUAGGUCAUGGGAUCCGGUUUGUCACAGUGAGGCAUGCUCCUGUAGUGGCCGGUGAGAAGCGUCCGAUCUCUGACGUAAGUGCUCCCGGUGGCGGCGACGUUUGCGGGUUUGCUUCUCGAAGUAGGGCGAACCGCGAGUCGGCGAGUUUGGGUUUGAGGAUAUCGGAUUUGGGCCUAAGCGGGUUGGUUUUUUUAAGUUGGGCUUUGUGUUUGGGCCUUUUGGUCUUUGUAACUCUCUUUGGGCUUCGGCCUUUUUGCUAAUAUAAUUCAGUUGGAAAAAAAAAAAAAGAGAGUACAUUUCCUAUUAAAAGAUGUUUGGAGAAGGCAUCAAAGAGUGUACCAAAGAUCUUGAGGCAACCCAUUUUUAAAACUCGACUAAGUCUCUUUGAAUAUGAACGCAAUAAUCUAGUUUAUUAGACAGAACUAGCAUUCCCACAAGAAUAAACGCAAUAAUCAAGAUUGCGUUUACUACAUUUUUUGCCUUCUAAAUACAACUAACAAUUCGUACUCAAUUCGUUAGCUUACGAUAUCAAAGAUUGGACGUUCAUAAGAAAAAAGAAAAAAAGUUAUCACUUAACGAGUGUACAAAUUGGUUUCCUCUUCCUCAUCCUAUAAAAGUACGGGCAAGUGUUUUUUUUUAUAGUUAUGAAGUGUAUGGUACAACGUGAAAAGGACUGUAGCUUGUUUCCUUCGAUUUGAAAGCAAUUUACAAGUGGCUUUAGACGUUCACCAAACGCCGUUAAUUUCUAAAAGCUCUAUGAGAGCAGAAAAAUGCUUUUCAACAGCAUGCAAAUUGUUUAAGAAACCAUGUUGCAACUAAGGUCAAACAAAUAAUAAUAAAAUAUCACACCGUAUCUAAUCAAAUCUUAAUGCUUGACCGAGUCACAUGUGCAACAAUCCUUGCAACUCAACCUGCAUCAACAUCUUAAACUUUCACGAAUCAAAAUCACCCUAGUCAACAAACUUUUUCAUCUCACUUGUUCCAUUAACAGAUUCCAUCUUGAUCUAUAUUUCAAAAGACGAUCAAUAGCAACACAAAACUUUAAGCAAUACAGAUCAACCUUACAACCUCAAAAUCAAAACGGAUCAAACCUUUAUUCUCUACACCGAGAACCUGGCUUUGUUUGGGUAUUCGACCUAGUUUCUUCUUGAUAUUUUUUAGGUUCAAUAUUAGCUUGAUUAGGUUGAUUGAGCUGAUCUAAACUUAGCAAGUAAUAGAACUCAAGAAAACAAGCAUACACAUACGAGAUUUGUUCAUCCGGACUUUGUUUCCUACUAUCCGCAAAACUCUCGAACCUUGAUUAUUGAUUGAUGUGAUACAAAAGACUGAUACCUUGUAUUGAUUUCAGACUUGAAAUGAAUGUAUUCGGUUAACCAAAAAAAAUAGACCAUUUUUUCCGGUAGCUACAUGACACUAGCCUUUACAUAUUUAUUCGAGAUUAUUAUAUACCCGACAUUCUGCCCCAAACAAAAUUCCAUCGAAGUUUAAAACAAAUAAACCGAAACCAAACUACCCGAAUAAAAUCGAACCGAUUAUUUAAUUUGGUUUCAAUUUUCCAAUAACCGAAAUUAUCCAAAUCGAACCGGAGCUACCAGACUUGUCUAUUUUGAUUUUUCUUCUAACGAAAGGAGACUUUAGUCUGAUAAAUCACGCCCGUAAUAAAAUAUAUAGCUUCUCCGAGGAUUCGAUUCGAUUCGAUGAAGGCUGCUCGAGUCUUGGCGGCUGCGGCGGCGAGGGUUGGACCGGCUAUAAGGAAGCAAGUGUUAACCAUAACGGACGAAGCUGCCUCUAGGGUUCAUCAUCUCUUGCUCCAGAGGCAAAAACCUUUCCUCCGACUGGGCGUUAAAGCAAGAGGCUGCAACGGUUUAUCAUACACCCUCAAUUACGCAGGUAACCUCACACACAAACCAUUGUCUUGAUUUUUUUAGUGGAGAAGGCCCACGUUGCCUCCAAUGGGAUGUUUCUUGUUUUGUUGAAUACUCUAGAUGCUUGCCUAUUGCUAUGUUACACUCUGUUGAUCAUCACAUAUUGUUUAUAGACUCUGAUCAUGUGAUCAGAUGAGAAAGGGAAAUUUGAUGAGCUGGUGGAGGAGAAAGGAGUGAGGAUCCUUGUGGAACCCAAGGCCUUAAUGCAUGUGAUUGGAACAAAGAUGGAUUUCAUAGAUGAUAAACUAAGGUUUGCAAACUCUUGUCACAUUUUUAUUUCAAAACUGUAACAAUAUUUUUUUAAAAAAUAUUUCUGUUGUAUAAUUGCAGAUCAGAGUUUGUGUUCAUCAAUCCAAACUCGCAAGGUCAAUGCGGGUGUGGUGAAUCGUUCAUGACAACAUCUACUUCCUCGAGUGCUAAACAGAGUGGAUAGUGUUGGCUGCUGCACUAUCAUAUAGUAUUAUCACUUUGUUACUAUAUAAUCGGAGUCGUUGAUUGGAAACAAGUCCGGUCGUUGCUCAUAGAUAUUACUGAAGCUUGUGAUUUGUGGAGAUCAAUUAAUGUAUUCUUUAGAACACAAAGUUAUAAUAAAGUGUUGGAUUAUGUAAAAAGUAAUUGAUCUUAGAAUCAGGAGUUUUCGCUAUGUUGAUCGAUCUGUGGGUGGUUGUGGGAUCAAAAGCUGCCUCUUCAUAGUUGAUAUGUGUUCCAGUGAAGGAAGUUUUAAGGCAGGUUUUGGUUGAAGUUACUCUUUAACAUUCAGACAAAAGCGUAACUAAACAUAAAGAAUGGAAACCUGUAAUUUAUUUUGGAUGCAGUGUGAAUAGAGCUUAAUUUGUUUUCGCAAUGUAUAUGGUGACUUAGAAAGCUGUUUGAAUGAAGUAAAUGGAGAUACUGAUACCAAAGAUGAGAUUCUAAAGACAAACUUCAAGGAAAAAAAAAAGCUACAUAGACAAGCUCAUGCCUGUUGAUUUAAGACAAUACUUCAAUUACUCAAAAGUAAGAAAAAUCAAACAAGGUGCAGGAACCAACAUAAUAACAAGAUAAAAGAAAUAUUGCAUUGUAUCACAAGCUAACAACACCAAAGAACUUUCCACUCCUUAAUCGUUGAAGCUGAGUAACAGAACCAGGUCUCUUCUUCCUCCACCACCAAAAAGCCUCAACAGAAGCUACACUCACCACGACCGCCACAACGACCACCAGAAAAAGGGCCACCAACAUUAAGACUAGUAGGACCAUAUCCACGACCACGAACAAAAGGACCAAAAGGGCCAAAACUAGUGGUGGUCGCCUUUUUAGUAUUUGCUCUAUAAUUUCUCUGAACAGACUCUUCUUCAUCAUCAUCAUCAGAAGAUGAUUCAUCCACAGACAUGUUGUCUGCCUCGGCCGCCUUUACACUGCCAGUUUUCAUCGAGGCAGCAACUUCGUUAUUAUUUAAACUAACCGAUGAAAUCAACAUAUCCACUUUUUCUUCAAUCUCCCGAAGACGAUGAUCCACCUUCUCUUCGAUCUUUUGAAGACGAUGAUCCACCUUUUCUUCCAUCUUCUCAAGAAGAUCAACCAAUCCUUUCAACAUCUCUAUCACAUCAGGUGCUUUUUUCUCGGUUAUGUCUUUCUUAUGUUUCUCCAAAUCAUCUCUCGGCUCUCUGUUCACUACUUCCUUUAGAUGCGCCGUGGCCUUGAUCGCAUUCGAAGCUGCUCCAGACGGGGUGGCGGAUUCUUUAUCCAUUGAGAAUAUGAGAAGAGCGAAUCUAUAGGUUACAGGGUGAAAGUGGAGAUCGGCAAAAAAGACCUAGACGAAACUGGUAUUUAUAAAGAGUCUUUUAUUGAUGUAGCGUGCAUCCUAAGUCCUAUUGUAUUUUGGUUUUAAACCUUUUUAUUUUUUGAUGUAGCGUGCAUCCUAAGUCCUAUUGUAUUUUGGUUUUUAACUUUUUAUUGGUUGCAGCGUGCAUCCUAAGUCCUAUUGUAUUUUUGUUUUCUUAUUUACCUUUUUCCCCUUCUCGAUGAUUAUAUUGGUAUUUUCCUUUAUUACAUUACAAACCAAUUAUAUUGGUAUUUUCCUUUAUUACAUUACAAACCAAAUUUUGUUUUAUUCCAUUAUAAAUUUCCACUAGGUUAAAUUUUAUAAUUUAAGAUAUAAAAAAGUAGAUAAUUUGUAUGGAAAAUUAUGUCCUGAAAUAUGGAAACUUCAAUAUGCUGAAAUAUGGAAAGUUCUCCUAGCCCGUACAUAUUGUCGACAAGUGGUGCUUCUACCUUUUCAGUGGUUGACCUAGAAAAAUAUGAACCAAGCUUGGCACUCUCCUUGGUCUCCUGUCUUCUUUUACUAGACCCUUUUCUUGGCUUUUCUCAAAAUAUAUCUAUCUAUCUCUCUCUCUCUCUCUCUCUCUCUCUGUUCUCACCGACACUUUGUUCUAGCUUUUCUCACCUCUUUCGUUCUUCUCUGAUCAUAGCACUAUAGCAGUUAUAUUUUCAUUUACGAAAAUAUCAACAAAGUAAGGUCAAUUUUCUUUCUUUUCCUUAGAAGUAGAUGAGAGAAGAAGAUCAGCAUUUACCUAUAAGAAAAAGUCAGGUCCUUUAAUGUAAACUUUUUAUAUUUCUUCAUAUUUUGUAGUUCUAUUUUUGAUCAAUAUUUUGUAGUUCUAUUUGGGCCAAUCUAUCUGGUUUUAUGAGCCGUGUCAGAAGCAGAUACAAAAGCUGAUGGCACAUGGCAGCAAAACUAUCAAAUUUAUUUUGACCUAAAGACAAAAUUAUAUAAUAAAUACAGAUGAUUUAGGUGAUACUAUGUUGUCUGUUAAUGCUCAUCGUGUAUCUUCUUUAAAACCAAUUUGCUUUUUAAUUAUCUCAAAAUGUCUUUGAAUAUUCAAGUGUCUCUCUCUCUUGAUUUUGUGUUUGUUUGUAUCUGAUAGUAGUUGCAACAUAAGUUUUCUGACUUUUAUAUCUCUUACUUCCCUACAAAAUAGUAUUUUUAAAGAACAAACAUCUAGUCUCGAUUUAUGUUUAUUUAUAUUAUAGCGAAUAAGUCAUUAAUUCCUCUGUAAUUCGCAUUUCGUAUUAGUUCUUUGCACAUAGGAAGCAAAAGAAAAUGGCAUUGGAGAAAAACAAAAAUGUGGAUAAUGUGAAUUUGAAGCAGAGGAAUAUUGUCUUGGUUGGAAUUAAAAUUGAUGAAAGUGACAAAGAGGUAUUGCAAUGGACACUUGAAGAAGUUGCAGAAAAUGGAGAUUGUGUUGUUGUUGUUCAUUUUUGUUCAACUUCUCGUGAGCUCUUCUUCUCUUACUUGUUAAAUUUUAAUCAUUUAUAGUUACUCUUUAGUCUUUACUAAGUAUUUUUUUGUAUGGUUCUGAUUUAUGGAACUUGGAUGAUAUGAUUCAGGUCGUGCCUUGAAAAACAAGUCAUCAUUGGAUCGGUACUUAGAACUUUACAGUGAAUUCUACUCAACAAAGAAGGUAGCUUCACGUCUUUUUAUGGGUUUAUUUCGAGUAAAGACACGAUUCUUACCAUUGGGUAACAGAGAAUAUUUGGGGUUUGAGAACAGAUUGAGCUCAAAGGAGAAGUUUUGAAGGGAAACUCAGGACAAGGUGUUUUAGUUAAAGAGGCAAAGAGAUACAACGCUAUGUCGAUUGUUGUUGGAGUUAAACAUCAAAGAAAGUUAAGGUGAGAACUAAACACAGGGAGAAAAGUUUACUUAUAAAAAUUGAUAUUCUCUUACUAAUUUUUUAUAUGUUUUAUUAAGUCUUAAAGUAGCUAAAGGCUGCGCAAAAGAGCUUCCGCCAACAACUGAUGUUUUGGCCAUCUACAGAGGAAAUAUAUUCUUUAGACGUUCCAACUAUUACCAACCACCUCUUGGUUCGUUGGUUCUCUUACAUCAGAAAAAAAUUAUGUCUAUAUACCAUUCUUUAAACUGGUUGACCAGAAAUGAUUUUUGUUCUUCUUGCAGCUCAAAAUACAAGUCCAAGACCAAGUUCUAAGCUUUAUAAUGGGACUUUCAGACAAAGACAUCGAACUGAAAACCGAAGAAUCGACAGUUAAAAGCCGAGUUCUCGAGAUAACAAGCCAAGAGAGGAGGAGAGUUUCGGGUAGAUCGCUUUCUCUUCCACAUGUAGAGGUAAUGGACCAGAAACCAGGUUGGCCGCUGCUAAGAACAACCACUUUAGCUACUCCUGUGGUUCAACAUCAGACUCGAAAAGUCUCAGUUGUCAACUGGGUCAUGAGCUUGCCUGAACGGUUUCCAAAUCUGACUUCUCAACAAAGCUUUUGCGAUUCACAACUUAAAGACAUACUAAAGGAAACAAACAAAUGGUUUAGCUAUGAUGUUCUUAAGACAGCAACAUCUGAUUUCUCUUCAGGUACUAUCUUAUAAAUCUGUUUUUUUCUAUUCUCUAUGUCACUUUAUGUUCAUCUGAUUCUUGUUUUUUUCUUUUAUUACAGAGAAUCUAAUCGGGAAAGGAGGAUGUAACGAAGUCUAUAAAGGCGUUCUUGAAGAUGGGAAAGAAGUGGCGGUGAAGAUCUUGAAAUCAUCUGGUAAAGAAGCAGUGAAUGAUUUUAUUCAAGAAGUGAGAAUAAUCUCUUCUUUGAGUCACCAAAACAUCUCUCCUCUGAUCGGUAUCUGCGUUCACUACAACGACCUAAUCUCGGUUUACAAUCUCUCAUCCAGAGGAAGUUUAGAGGAAGCCCUUCAGGGUUAGCACAAUACUAGUCUACUCUUUAAACCAUCUUUGACACAACAUAUAUUAAGUAUGGUUUAUUUAAUUUCUGCAGGUAAGCAUGUAUUGGGAUGGGAAGAGAGAUUCCAGAUAGCUAUUGGAUUAGGGAAAGCUCUUGAUUAUCUUCAUAACCAAUGUUCUAAUCCUGUGAUCCACAGAGAUGUUAAAUCUUCCAAUGUUCUCCUCUCGGAUGAGUUUGAACCUCAGGUAUUGAGUACUAGUGACUUAGAACUCGUAAAAUAUAUUAACAAACUCAUAACCAUUUGAAAUUUUUCUUGUGAGAAAAGCUUUCGGAUUUCGGGCUUUCGAUGUGGGGUUCAAACUCUUGUGGAUACACAAUACAAAGGGACGUGCUGGGGACGUUUGGAUACCUAGCUCCUGAGUACUUCAUGUAUGGAAAAGUCAGCGAUAAAGUCGAUGUUUAUGCCUUUGGUGUAGUUUUGUUUGAACUCAUAUCAGGAAGAACUACUAUAUCGUAUGAUAGCCCAAGAGGACAAGAGAGUUUGGUCAUGUGGGUAAGUGUUUGUUUUUUGGUUACUUGUAACACAAGAAACGUACACUGAAACAUAAAAAAGGAGAUUACUUGGGUUGCAGGCAAUACCGAUGAUUGAAAAAGGCGAUGCAAGAGAGCUCUUGGAUCCGAACAUUUCAGGGAGUUUAGAAGAGGCACAGUUUCAGAAAACGGUUCUUGCUGCUAGAUGUUGCCUUACAAGAGCAGCUACUCACCGUCCCAAUAUCAGAGAGGUUAUAACUGAUUUCAAGUGUUGGAUCCUCUGCUCUAGCCAUGAAUUGCACCAAGAUCUAACCAUUUAGUCUCGAUUUUUUUUUAAAUUUCUGCAGAUACUCAAGCUGCUAAGAGGAGAAGAUGAGGUAGAGAAAUGGGUGAAGAAAGUGGAAGAAGAUGAGGACUGUUUCGAUGACGAUGAGGUUUACCCAAAUUCGAACAAAGAUUUACACUUGAGCCUCGCCAUGCUGGGCAUUGAGGAUAAUGACUCGGUUUCAGUCGGCAGCUUGGAGAGAAGUAACCGUAGCAUAUUUUCUUCCUCUUCCUCGCAGGAGCUUCAGUCUUAAUUAGGGAGUGUGCUUAGUGUCUCGAGUUUUCUCAGAGAUAUCAAGCUGGAUAUAAGUACUCUGACUUGGCUUUUGCUACUACCAUUGCGGAAAAGAAAUGUUUUUCUUAAGAAAAAUCAUUGAAACUAUAAAUAAAAAUAUACUCAACCAGUUACAAAAUAGAUUAUAAAUAUGAUUAGUUAUACAAUUUUUGAUAAAUUCAAAAAUUACCCGAAAUAUAACAAUAUGUUAGAAACUGAAACAUCAAAAAUUCAUUAAAACAUCUCAUAUUUCACAACAGAAAAAGUAUAUUAGAUAUAUUAAUAGUCCUAAAAGAGGAUAUGUUCUACAAUGUCUUAUAUAUUACAAAAUCUCUAUAAAAUUAUUUGAGAUCUUAGUCUCUUAAGCUUCGUAGUCAUGUUAAUUACCACAAUAAUCAGUUACAUUAGGUAGUUUUAAGAAUUAAAAUUAUGUAAUUGUCACUAUUAACAUUGCUAUUUUAGUUUUUAUAAAUAACUUUUAUUUUAUUUUUCUAAAUAUAUAUAUAUAUAUAUAAGAAAAUAUUUCCAAAAUAAUCUGGGGUGUUUUUUUUUUUAAAGUCAGCAAUAUAUAAGUACUUGAUUAGUAAGCAUUAGUUUACAUAUAAUUACUUUUAAAAACUGUUGUAGUUUCUUCUAUCCUUAGUAUGAAACAACAUAUAUCAAGUUAUAUAAAUUUUUAUAAUAUAUAUUUAAAAUUAAGAAAAAUAAUCAAACUAAAUGAAAAAAAAAAACAAAACUAUUCACAUUUUAGCCUAAAUAUAUGAGAAAAACAGUUAUAAUUUAGAAAAAUUGUUGCAAUUCAAUAUGUUUAAACAUAAAUAAUUAACUGCUCUAAAUUUUGGUAUCUAAAUAUGUCAACUAAAAUAAUAAUAUAAUUUUAAAACAGUUUUUAUUUAAUUUAAUGCAUUUGUAUCAUAUUUAUGUUCUUAUGCACCAACAAAAUAUCUAGUUAUUUUGUAAAUAUUUAUAUACUCAGUGAGCCACCUGGUAAAAAUUUUAAAGAUGUAAAUCAAAGCUAAUUAUAUUCGUGGUUUUAUACCCUUUUUCACUUUAAAAUUACGUAAGUUAUGCAAGUCAACACAAGUAUUGUCAAAAAUCGUUUGUUUUCCAUAUGUGUAAUUUUGGGUAAUCAUGGCACCGAUAUCUAUACUAUUAAAAGAUAAGUCAUGACUUCUUUCAUGUGUGAUAUUUUAAAUAGACCAUUCCUAGAAAGUUGUUUACAUUAUUUUUUUGUAUUUUCCUAACAAUAUCCUAACAAGAUAUUUAAUUAUCUUUUUAUUCCAUCAAAAUAUUAUUAAUAAUGGAUUUUGAAAAUAUAUUUAUUCCAUCAAUAUAUAAUUAUAGGUGCAUAUAACCAUUUAUAAUCUACUUAAUAAUAAUAACAUUUAAUUAUUCUAGAGUUAAUACCUGCACAUGAUCUAAUUAAUAAUAAUAACAAUUAACAUUUAUUAUGCAAAUAAAAUAAUGUUAGAAUUUCACCAUGCAAAUAAUAAAAUCAAAUCAAAUAUUAAAAUCCUAACACUAAUGUAUUUUCAUAAUAAGUGUUAUUAUUAUUAAUUAUGUUAUACAUUAUACAUGUAUCAAUAUUUAUAUAGAUGUUGUGUUAACAAACAUGUAUUGAUAAAUAUAUAAUAUUUUUAAUAUAUAUAUAUACUGUAGUGAUGAAUUUUUCAUGCGUGAUUUUUUCAUUUGGAUUAUUCUUUAAAAUUUUAUCAAAUUUUACAUGAAUUAAUUAUAAUAUUUAUCUUUUUAAUUGAAUAACAAUAAAUACUUUUUAAGAAAGUUCUAAAAAUAUUUUUAAAAUAUUUUCGGAAUAAAUUUAAGUUUUAUAUCCAAAAGUAAUUAGUUUUAAUUUUAGCUAUCAUAAACUAUAAUUAGAAAUUAAAAUUUAUUUUAGUUUCGAUUUAUAUUGAAAAUGUAAAAUUAUAUAAAGUGUUAUAAUUAUAUAUUCACUGGUAAUAACAAUUUAAACUGAUUAAUUUUCAAAAAUAAAAUUUACAAAGAUUUUGUUAGAAAUAUUCAUUUCUAUUUCAAAUUAAAAGAAGAUAUUUUAUCCAACUUAGUGUAUUUAUCAAAUAUGAUAUUUACUACAAACAUAUUUUGAAGUACAAUGUAUUAUAGUUUUUCUUUAAAAUAAUGUUUUUACAGUAUCUUAAAAAAAUAUAUUUUCUACUGUAUAGAUCUAAUUUAAUUUACUUUCAUAUAAAUUUAAAAUAAAAAAGUAUGUAACGUAAUAUUGUUACAUAAUAAAGUUUUCAAAAUAAUUUUUGUUACAAAAAUACAAAAUUUAUAGUAAUAAUAUAUAAGCCACGUAAACAUAGCUAUUAUAGAAUUACAUAAUAUAUAACACUAAAUUAUAUUAAGUUAUUGGUAAAUUUUGUUAUAUAAACUAAAACGUUUCAGUAUAUAAAUAAAAAAAUUCCGCACGGUUGUACUGGUCAAGAUCUAGUAUAUAUUAAGAAAAGGAAAAAAAAAAUGUUGACCGUUUAGAGAAAAAUCUCUGCAACUUGUUCGUACGUCCAUGUCCUUGCGCCAUCUGUUAAUACGCUUCUUAUCAUCAAAUGCACUAGUGCCCUUUUCGUCUCUAGGGUUUCCUUUCCUAAUAUCAUCGCCUCUUUCACUCUUAUCGCCGAUUCUCCUCUCACGUUUAUCAGUUCCAGAUUAAUUGGAUGCUUGACUUUCAUCUGAAUCGUUUGAAUUUGUGUGUUUCCCUCUGUGAUUAGGUCUUGACUUGAUCGUGAAAGCUCGAGUCUUGUUUGGUUUCAAGCACAACUGUAUCCAGAAAGUGUCUUAAUUUUUGUUUCGUAAUAAGACCAAACAAAAGAGCAGAGUUUAAGAGGUUGCUGUAAUAAUGGAAGACGGUGAGCUCGAGUUUCCACCUAGCAGCAGUUCCAUGGAUUCUUUCCUGGAAGAGCUUCUCAAGGACUCUCAUGCUUGUACCCACACUCACACUUGUAACCCUCCCGGACCAGAGAACACACAUACACACACAUGUCUCCAUGUCCACACCAAGAUCCUUCCUGCUCCUCAGAGCGACGACAAAGAAACUACGGAUGACACGUCGGAGUCUUCAGGGAAGAAGAGCAAGAAGAGGCCUUCGGGGAACAGAGAAGCGGUUAGAAAGUAUAGAGAGAAGAAGAAGGCUAAAGCGGCUUCCUUGGAGGAUGAAGUGUUAAGGCUCAGGGCUGUGAAUAAUCAGCUGAUGAAGAGGCUGCAAGGUCAAGCUGCGCUGGAAGCCGAGGUUACGAGGCUUAAGUGUUUGCUUGUGGAUAUAAGAGGAAGGAUAGAAGGAGAGAUUGGUGCCUUCCCUUAUCAAAAACCGCAGCCUUUCUCGUAUAGGAUGCAGCCUUGCAAUAUGCCGUGCGAUGUUGACGACUUGUACUGUCUUCAGAAUGGGAACAGUGGAGAAGGUAUAUUGAUGAAUGGGCAAGGGCUAAAUGGUUGUGAGUUUGACCAGCUUCAAUGCUUGGGUGAUCAGAAUCUAGCUGGCUGUAGUAAUGGAAAUGGAACAUUCGAUGUGGAUGCAUCGGGUGCUAAUAAGAGUAAAGGUGAAACUCUAACACCUUAGGAUCUAUUUAGUAGAGGUACUUUUAAUACAGUUUUCUUUUAUGUUGUGAUCUCUUGAACUCGUGGUGUUUGCUCUUGUUUUGCAACAGGUGGGACAUGUGCAGCUAAAGCAGUUUGAAGUAUCAUCACCAAUCAUGUAGUACUAUUAAUUUUCACAAGGCUAUAGUUUUUGUUUUCCAAUAAGUAGUGAAGUUCAACUGCAUCACCUGCUUUCUUCAGGUCCCCCUUUGUGCUAUUAUCAUUUUUUAUAGUCUCUUUUUGUUUCUUCUCAUGUAAUUGUAUUUCCUUGUUGAGCUAGUAGCAAGACUUGUUAAUAUUCAAAUCGAAUUAUGCCAAGUGAUUUUGCCAUUUGGUUUUGUGUUUUAGUAGCUUCUUUCUUUAAGCUAUUAUGUUGUGAGAUUAUAAUGAUUCUUGAAUCUAACAAUAAGUAAGUUCAGUAUUAGCACAGCAACUGAACUGUUGCAGGCUCGGUUUUGGAGAUCUAGAGUCUAAUUUUAGCCCCAAAGAACAAUUUUGAAACGGAGAAUCCAAACAUGGUUACAUUACCAAACAGAGUUGUCUUGUCAUGCUGGUAAUAAUACAGACAAAGCUCGUCUUUUAGAAACUAUGUCUUGAGUAAUGGAGAGACUCCAGUAAUUUCUUAAUUUUUUCAUGACUGUUUGAUGUCCUCAUCGAUCUCAUCUUCAUCUUCAUCUCGAUAGAUGCUUUCCGCCAUUUGCCAGACCUGAAGACUGUUGUCUUCUGCUACACUUGCAAUGACCCAAGGCUCGUUUUUGUUCCAAGCAAAAUCUGAUAUCUUAGCCUUGUGGCCACCGUGAGAAAAGAGCAACUCUGGUGGACCAUCUUCUGCAUCCAACUCUAUCUCAAGCUGCUCUUCUCCAACCCUGUCAAAACAAAAGACGCCUUGCUCAACGUUGAUCAAUCUACAGAAUAAAAAAUUCUAUAUUCAGAGUUCUUCUGUAAUUGAGAUGAUGAUUGUACCUGUUCAGGUCCCAGACCAUCAGCCUUCUAUCUUCACCGGAAGAUGCAAGCACUGUUUCAUGGUUAGGAUCCCACUCCACUUGGAAAACCUCUCCCCUGUAAUCAGAAUAUUUCAUUUAAAUGGUGGAUUUUCACAGAAAACGGCACUCAGUGAACAUCUAUAAACCUUUGGUUUUUAAGACAAUAAUAUAGAUUGUGCAGGGAAUGUACAAAAAAUGUAAAAGAACAUACUCGUGGCUGCUCAAGACGUGCAAUGGCACAUUCAGCUUCCGGAGGUCAAACAAGGCAACAGUUGAGUCUGACGAAGCUGUUGCUAAAACCCAUUCGUUGAACGGAUUGAAAGACAAAUAGUUCACCUGAGAACACACAAUAAAGCAACUAAGCAUGACAUCUGGCGACCAUAACUACAGAACACACAAUUCCACUUCCAAAUUCUCACUCAAGUCAUUAGAUACUAAAGUAUGGGUUUUUACCUCUUUCUCGUGAACUUUCACUUGGUGUUGCAUUUGGUUUGUCCGCGUGUCCCAUAUCACCAAUCGACCAUCAUCACCAGCAGAACCAAAAAGGUUCUCGUUCUUCAUGUGCCACGCUACAUCUUCCACAGCGCAUUCAUGCCCCUAAACCCCAUAACAUGAUAGCAAAAUUAGAACCAGAAAAAAAAAUCACCGUCUUCUUGAAGCAAAACAGGAGUCCUGUUCCAACUUACCUCGUACACAAACAUUGCAUUCAGAACCUUAUCUUGCGGUGUAGCUGAAACAUCCCAAAGGCAUAUCUUCUUAUCCUGCGAACCACUCAGAAGAUAACCUUCCUUGAACGGACUCCAAGACAAUCCAUACCCUUCCAUGUCGUGCCCCACCAGCCUCAGAUCAGGAUCACAAUCACUAGUCUGAGGCUUCGAAGCGUGCUUGGCGUAAUCAAACAGAAACACCUCACACCCACUCGUCUUCGCACCGACAAGAGUUGGCUUUUGAGGCAUGCACCGCGCUCUGUUCACUUCUCCAUCGACACGUAUCUUCUGCCUAAUCUCCACCUACCAACAAAGAACACGAUUAGAGGAACUGAAGCUGAACAGAAACAGAGCACUCGUGAUGAAGACGAUGAGCUCAAGAGAUGUGAAAAUGAAUAUUAUAAUCUACCCGGUAUAAACCGGUUCUAACUAACCAAACCAACUGUAACUAUAUAACACUCUAAUAAAAACGUCGUUUCAUCGAACACAUGGUGCGCAUACAACACUUUAAGCGAAUCGAAUUACCUUAGGGACUAUGGGAUUUUGAUUUGUGCCGCCUAACCCUGGCUCGGCGUCGGGAGUUGGGAUGACGGCGUCGGCGACCAUGAGGAAAUCUUGAGCGUCGCCGGAAGUGUGGGUUCCGAGGAUGAGCUUGUGGACGCCGAAGUAAGGAUCCGCCGCGUAAGGGGAAGGGGGAGAUGGGACCCAGUGGACGGUGAGAGAGGGCCACUCGAGAGGGUUAGAGAUCAUAAGAUCGUAGAGGAAUGGUGUGUUCUUCUUCCAUAUAGAGAAAUCCUCCUCUACCUGAUCCAUUCCAGCAUCCUCCUUACUACCUUCAUCUGCCAUCUCUCUCUCUCUCUAACCCAUUCGUUGAACGGAUUGAAAGACAAAUAGUUCACCUGAGAACACACAAUAAAGCAACUAAGCAUGACAUCUGGCGACCAUAACUACAGAACACACAAUUCCACUUCCAAAUUCUCACUCAAGUCAUUAGAUACUAAAGUAUGGGUUUUUACCUCUUUCUCGUGAACUUUCACUUGGUGUUGCAUUUGGUUUGUCCGCGUGUCCCAUAUCACCAAUCGACCAUCAUCACCAGCAGAACCAAAAAGGUUCUCGUUCUUCAUGUGCCACGCUACAUCUUCCACAGCGCAUUCAUGCCCCUAAACCCCAUAACAUGAUAGCAAAAUUAGAACCAGAAAAAAAAAUCACCGUCUUCUUGAAGCAAAACAGGAGUCCUGUUCCAACUUACCUCGUACACAAACAUUGCAUUCAGAACCUUAUCUUGCGGUGUAGCUGAAACAUCCCAAAGGCAUAUCUUCUUAUCCUGCGAACCACUCAGAAGAUAACCUUCCUUGAACGGACUCCAAGACAAUCCAUACCCUUCCAUGUCGUGCCCCACCAGCCUCAGAUCAGGAUCACAAUCACUAGUCUGAGGCUUCGAAGCGUGCUUGGCGUAAUCAAACAGAAACACCUCACACCCACUCGUCUUCGCACCGACAAGAGUUGGCUUUUGAGGCAUGCACCGCGCUCUGUUCACUUCUCCAUCGACACGUAUCUUCUGCCUAAUCUCCACCUACCAACAAAGAACACGAUUAGAGGAACUGAAGCUGAACAGAAACAGAGCACUCGUGAUGAAGACGAUGAGCUCAAGAGAUGUGAAAAUGAAUAUUAUAAUCUACCCGGUAUAAACCGGUUCUAACUAACCAAACCAACUGUAACUAUAUAACACUCUAAUAAAAACGUCGUUUCAUCGAACACAUGGUGCGCAUACAACACUUUAAGCGAAUCGAAUUACCUUAGGGACUAUGGGAUUUUGAUUUGUGCCGCCUAACCCUGGCUCGGCGUCGGGAGUUGGGAUGACGGCGUCGGCGACCAUGAGGAAAUCUUGAGCGUCGCCGGAAGUGUGGGUUCCGAGGAUGAGCUUGUGGACGCCGAAGUGAGGAUCCGCCGCGUAAGGAGAGGGGGGAGAUGGGACCCAGUGGACGGUGAGGGAGGGCCACUCGAGAGGGUUGGAGAUCAUGAGGUCGUAGAGGAACGGUGUGUUCUUCUUCCAUAUAGAGAAAUCCUCCUCUACCUGAUCCAUUCCAGCAUCCUCCUUACUACCUUCUUCUGCCAUCUCUCUCUCUCUCUUCUCUCAGUCUAGAAUCGACUUCUCUCUCUCUUUGGUCUGUGUGUUGAGGGUUUUCACUGUUCUAUUUUCCCGCCAAUUUGCGAUGUACAUGCGAGUUGUUUGAGCUUUCUACAAAUGAACGAUGUGCCGUUUUUUAGGUUGAAGACCAGCAUGCAUGUGUUUUAUAUUAGUAGGCCUAUUAUCGAGUUAUGAAUUUAUGGGCUUUCAUAGUCAAGACCCACUCUUAAUGCACACACUUAGACCCAUUUAAACUAUUGUUGAUUUAAUUUUUAAUUAUUUUAACUUUAUAGUUUUUUAACAAAUAUUAAAUGAAACAAAUAAAAAUUUUAAACUGAUUUUUAUUAUAUAAACGCAAAUCAAAUUGUUCUGGUAAAAAUGCAAUAUCGAAUUUUCUUCUAAAACCGCAAAAUUUGAUUUAAGUUUAAUGGGUUUGUAACAUUGCCAUAUGAAUGUUUUUCUUUCACACUUCAAAGUGAAUCAUGUCUUUCAAGUUCACAUUUUGCUGUUUGUAUUUGUUUAUGACAACUACUUGACAUUGAACUUCUUCUGCUCUAAGUUUAGUGCCUUUGUAAUGACAUAACAAUGCAGUAUCUAGUAGAUUUGAUAUGGUCUUUCAUUAUUCAAAUAAAUACUCCAUCAUUAAUCAUUCUAGUUUUUAAAGUUAUUAUUGAAUAGUACAAGUUGAAUACAAAGAUGAAUCGUAAUAAUACAAUGUGCCGAGUACCUCAUAUAUCGUCUCGAAAUUUCAAAUCAUUGGAUAGCAAUUCAAGAACUGAGUUAACUAUAACUUCAGGAGUGAGAACCACACUGACUUUGAAUAUCUUUUCACAGUCAUCAGCUUCAAGCAGAUCAAACUGAGACCGGAGAAGAGUGAGAGGCAUGAAAUGUUCUCCCUCCGAAGCUCUCUUCUGCAACCGAGCAGCGAUCACCUCUGCAUUACCUUCCAGUAACACAAACUUCACCUUGCAACUCGAAUAGCUUCCCGGUUUGUAAUCAGGAUCGGAGCCUCUCAAGAUUUCUCUGUACUGUUUUCUCAACGAAGAACACGCGAGAACAACGGUUUCUCCAUUGAGCAAACGUUCUCGCAAACUCUCUUGUAUUUUUUCGAGCCAUGGCAUCCGGUCUUCAUCCGAAAGAGCAAUGCCUUGGCGCAUCUUAUCUGGGUUGAACCAUGAGCAAGGUGUUGUUAACACAUGAAAACUUUGUUUUGUCAAAAUUCUUUGAUUCUUUUACCUCUGUUUGAUGAAGAAUGGAAAUCAUCAGCGUCUAGAAAAUCACAAGAUAGUGCUGUUCCCAACAACUUGCCUAUGGUACUAGAAAGGUCAAGAAAAAUUUGUUCAAUCACAAGUCACAACAUGGUAAGAGAGGACUAACAAAAAUAAAAUAAAAUAAGAACUAACGAUUUGCCUGCUCCGCUUACGCCCAUAAUCACAAUGACUUUGCCUGUUACUAUUGGCACACAAGAAGAAUUAGUGAAAGACGUAUGAGAACAUUGAUAAGAACAUGUUAAAGCUUACCGUCAUUGUUUGUCGACAUCUCUGAUCAAAACAGAGUUUGGUGAUUUUUGAAAGAACCAAUCUGCGAGCAAGAAAAACAAAAUAUGUAUAUCUAUAGUUCAGAUAAUCUUUUAGCAAGAAAACAAAACAACAUGUCUCUCUUGAUAGAACUAUACAUCUUUUCUUGGUGAACAUUAUUAAACCAUUAAAAUAUCUAAAGCUCUUAAUCUUAGCUUAUCAGUUAUAACAAACGUUUGACGUUGAUGUUGAGUCACAUGAUUUGGGUCUCAACAGUGUCCUUAGAGGAAGGAGUACAUGACCAUUCAAAAGAAUGCUGGUGUUUCAUAAGUAAGUCAAAAAGUCAAGAAGAGAAUAGAUACACAGCAA